UUCUCUUUAGUAUAUCAAGAGUUCAUUGGUCUGUUUAAUAAGGGAAAAAAUGUGGGUUCUAUGUCUUGCAACAUUGUUUUUUAUAGGCAUAACACAUUGGGUUUAUAGAUGGAGAAACCCUAGUUGCAAUGGAAAACUCCCACCUGGUUCAAUGGGUUUGCCCCUUCUUGGUGAAUCCCUUAAGUUUUUCACCCCCUACUCUUCUUCUGAUAUUCAUCCAUUCAUAAAGCAGAAAGUGGAGAGGUAUAAUAUAUGCAAGCUUCUCGUUUUUCAUGAGUUUUUCAUGAGAAUGUAUUACUUAAUAUUUGUGCUCCUUGGUUUCUUUUCUUUUCAGGUAUGGACCAAUCUUCAAGACAGGCUUUGCUGGACGACCAACUGUGGUGUCCACUGACCAGAAAUUUAAUAACUUAAUAUUCCAACAAGAAGGAGAAAUGUUCCAGAGCUGGUACCCAGAUACACUAAACAAGAUUUUUGGGAGACAAAAUUUAUCUUCCCUGCAUGGUUCUGUGUUCAAGUACGUUAAGAACAUGGUGCUCCAUAUGUUUGGUCCUGAAGGCCUCAAAAGGAUGCUCUCAGAGGUGGAACAGAAAGCGUGCACAACAUUGCAGCAGUGGUCAUGUCAGGAUACUCUUGAGUUAUGCGAUGCAACAAAAAGGGUCAAAUUAUAGAACUCAUAAUUAACUUUCUUUAUUUUCAUUUAGAAGCCUUUUCCUUUGAUUUCCUGAUUCGUCCUUCAUUUCCAGAUGAUAUUUGAGUUGACUGCAAAAAAACUUCUCAGUUGUGAUUCGAAAGAGACUUUAGAGAGUUUAAUGGACAACUUUAAUUCAUUUAUGGAAGGACUCAUCUCGCUCCCUCUCAACAUUCCAGGAACAGCUUAUCACAAAUGUUUGCAGGCAACUCCAUUAUCCACACCAACACUAGUCAUUUAUGACUAUCAUUACUUUAACUUGCUUCACGCAAUUAUGUUGUCCUAUAUACACUGAUUUUCUUGGGAUUUUUCAUCAUGAUGGAGUUAUUUUUUUUUUUGUUUUUACCAAAAUGGGGUCCGAUUAAAAAAAUUACAAAUUUAGACAAGUCGUGUCAAUUUGGCACGACUUCAUAUGCAUAAAUCGUCCCAAUUUGACACGACUCUGCCAUGUCAUAAUGAAGUCGUGCCAACUUGGCACGACUUUUGUCCUGUCAUACUGAAGUCGUGUCAACUUGGCACGACUUCUGCCACGUCAUAAUUUUUUAAAAAAAUUUUAUUGUUUAUAUAUUGGGUAGUAAGUUAUGUAAUGUUAAAAAUUAAUUUGAUACAUAAUUUUCUAAGAGUGUCCGAAGUCGUGCUAAGUUGACACGAUUUCAGUAUGACAGGACAGAAGUCGUGCCAAGUUGACACGAUUUCAGUAUGACAGGGCAGAAGUCGUGUCAAGUUGGCACGACUUUAGUAUGACAUGGAAGAGUCGUGUCAAAUUGGAACGAUUUGUGCAUAUGAAGUCGUGCCAAAUUAGCACGACUUGUCUAAAUUUGUAAUUUUUUUAAACGGACCCCAUUUUGGUAAAAAAAUAAUAAUAAAAAUAACUCCAUAAUGUAAAAUAACCUUUUCUCGGAUGUUUAGCUUAUAUUUAGGUAGGAUAUGAUAUUGACAUGUGUACGUGCAUGUUAAGUAUUAAUUCACUCAAUAAAAUUUAUGAAUAUUUAAAUAGGGUAACUUUGAUUUGGUGGUAGAUAACCACAUUUGCCUACUCAGUCCGAUGUUUUGAGAAUUAAAAAUUAAAGAGAAUGAAAGUGAAGGUGUCACUUUUGACAGGGUAGGAAAAGGGCAAUGAAGACACUGAAGAGCAUGCUGAAGGAAAGAAGGGAAAAGCCUAGGAAAGAAGUAAGCGAUUUCUUUGAUUAUGUAGUGGAAGAACUUUCAAAAGAGGGAACACCACUCAAUGAAGAGAUGGCUUUGGACCUCAUGUUUACGCUACUCUUUGCAAGCUUUGAAACCACUUCUUUGGCUCUCACAUAUGCCAUUAAAGAACUAUCUCACCAUCCCUCAGUGCUGAAGAAAUUACAAGUACGUUAAAUAUAUGUUUUCUUCUUAUAAGUCAUGGACAACAAUUUUUAAUUAUUUCUUUGGGCAUAUGGGUUUGCAGGAAGAACAUGAAGGCAUCCUGAAAGGUCGUGAAGAUCCAAACUCUGAACUUACAUGGCAUGAGUACAAAUCAAUGACUUUUACAUUUCAGGUGCUUCAAUCCUCAACAAAACAUUUUUCAUAUAUUUUAACCAGAGAAUCUAUGUUUGAUUUAAUUCUGUGUGUGCAUCUUAUUUAGUUGAUGACUAUUUGCAGGUCAUAAAUGAAACCAUCAGGUUGGCAAACAUAGUUCCAGGAAUAUUUCGGAAGACACUACAGGAGAUUAAAUAUGGGGGUAUGUGAUUGCUUCAUUAUAUCAAAUCCUUCUAAAAUCUGAAGCCUUACUCAAUGAAACUAACACUGCUCAUAAAUAAUACACACAAGCAGGAUACACCAUACCAGCAGGGUGGGCAAUAAUGGUGUGUCCCCCAGCUGUACACUUGAACCCGACCAUAUACGAUGAUCCUCUCUCCUUCAACCCAAGCAGAUGGGUGGUAAGUCUAAUUAACCUUUUCUUGUUUUAGAGUUUUUUAAGGUUCUUCAUUUGUUUUAUUUUCAAGUACCCUAUUAACUAGCUAUUUUUACAAUUAAAAAAAUCAACCCUCUAUCUAAAUUAAAAUUAAAUGAUAUACAUGAGUUAAAAAAAAUAAGAUUUUGAAAAAAAAUAGAAAUAGUUUCAAGAAAUUAAUUUAUCCAUACAUUAAUUUUAAUUUUUUAAAGAAACCCAAUAUAUUUUUAUUUUUAUUUUUCUCUCAUUAAUAUAAUUAUGCAAAGUUUUCCAGUGACAUUUGAUAUUUGCAUGCUCUGCAAUUCUAACAAAAAACUUGUUCUAUGUAGGGAAUGGAUAUGAGUCCCGCAAGCAAACAUUUAAUGGGUUUUGGUGGAGGCAUAAGAUUUUGUGUUGGAGCAGACUUUGCAAAGGUUCAGAUGGCUGUUUUUCUUCAUAACUUGGUUACAAAGUAUAGGUAAUAUAACUUCAUUGUGUAUCUUCAUGUGAAUAAUUUAAAUUAAAACAUUAAUGCAUCAUCUUCAAAUCUUUGCUGAUAAAAGAAAUCUUCAAACCUAGGUGGCGACCCAUCAAAGGAGGGAAUAUUGUUCGAAAUCUUGGGUUACAAUUUCCUGAAGGCUUUUAUGUCCGGGUAAUGAAGAAAGAUGCAUGGAAGUAUGAAUCAGAAUGAAUAUAAGAAAAUGUUGUGUUAUUGACAAUAAAAUAAAAUUUACGGUUCUUUGUCUUUUCUAUAGUUAAAUGUAUCAUGUGAUCUACGUACCUGAUAUCACAUAGUAGAAUAAUCCUUUAUUGUAAAAGCUGAAUGGAAAAGUAGAAUGUUUUAAUUUGUAAUAAAGAAGUGAAGGUGUAAGAUUAUCUAUAAACUUAAACCGAUUACGUUUGUUGAAAUUGGUAUGAGUUUUAUUCUUAUAAAAACACAAAUGAAACAACAAACACAGAAACAUCAGUGAUAGGGACUUCUUUUUGUUAGAAUAGUUUAUAAGUCUAGUUAUAUAUAAUGAGUAUUGUUCUUGUCGGUUGACUCAGCCGCUGUUGACUUCAGAGGUAGAUGGUGACUCCUCCUAUUUUUGGUGGUUUCUGCUCUCUCCUCAAGUGGUCGAUAGUGGAUCCAUUGAAACAGAGGGGGUCCUACCUGUUGAUUGUACUCUGACGAUCAAGUCAGUAAUGGGCUAAGAAACAGUAAAUAUGUAAAACAGUCUCAGUCUUAGAAACGACGUACCUUUCUAGGGUUCUUACCACCCUUUAUAUAGGUUGUAUCUAGGUCAACUCUCAGUCCCAUGAGGAUCUUUCCUUUAGUGGAAUUAGGGUUAUUGGUGAGGCAUCCUGUGACAUGUUGCACAAGCUUAGCACAGCCGCGACACAGGACUUCCCUCUUAUGGAGUGCAAAAUCUUAACAGUACGCCCACCAGGGUACCAACUCAUGCACCAGCGCUGCGGGCCAUCUAUUCAUGAGUGCCUUAAGUAUUCACGUGUCAUGCAUGUAAUCUAUCCUUGGAAACCUUAACCCUUACGGACCUUAACGCCUCCAAAGAUUAUUUACUUGUGCUAGACCUGAACGUAUUAUACACACCACAAGCAUGAACCCUCCUGAGAUUUAGGUCUCUCUUAUAUCUGGAUGAUAACUCAUUAUUAUUUCUGGGGCCCACCUACGUGGCCUAUUAGUGCGACCGGACCACCAAGAUCCGAUGCCACAUCUGAUGCCGGUCUCUGCAGCCGAUGUCUGAGGUUUGGCUAGUACACAAGCCCCCCGGCUCGAGUUGUAACUUGUUUCAGCGAAGAGGCUAAGUGAUCGCCCACGGCGACCUACGUGGCGAACGAGUGAUAGGACGUGCACAGUGCAUUGAGGUGAUGUCUCACCAUACUUUUUCACCAGCGUACACGUGGCAAAAUCAAUGGUUGAGGCUUGUUGCCGUUUGCGCUUCUCUGUACCUUAAACCCCUAAACUCUUAUGCUCCUUUCUCUAUUUCAUCUACUUUACGAAACACUCUACCUUCUCUCCUUACACACUUCAACUUCCCGAAGCACGAUCACGACAAGGUAUGCCCUUUAUCCCAUAAUCGCCUUUUGCCUUUCUAUUCCGAUGCUCAUAACAUGCAUUAACUGUUCUGGGACUGUUUAUGUUUUCUGCACUUUAUGAUUUAUGUUCUUCGUUUUGGCAUCUAUAUCUGUUUUUUCUUUUGAAUUUCUGAGGCACACCAUCCCCUUUCUCUAAACUCUGCCCUUUUCUUCCUUUUUCCAUCUCCUUCUUUAGCUUUUCUUCUCGAGAUGGCUCCAACAAAAACUACUCCAAACCCACCUCCUUCCAUCAACUACAAAUCUCUAUACCGCUGGGCUCCUGACAACCUUCUAGCCGAAACCUCCAAAAUCACCUCCUUUAAGGAUAUAGAGGCGUAUAAGGAGGGUGAGUCCAGCAAAAACUAUUGUAUUUUCAGGAAGGAGCACGACAGAUUCGUGAAGGUCCUGCAUUGCAGGGAAGGCGAACCUGUGUGUAUUGAUGACUCCGCGGACCCAAAAGAUCCCUUCUUCUUCUUGUAUUCCACCAUCUUCAAAAGGCUCAAGCAUCGCCUACCAUUCACUGGGUUUGAGUGCGCCCUUCUAACCAAGGUCAACGCGACCCCUGCCCAGCUACAUCCCAACAGUUGGGCAUUCGUCAUGGCCUUUUCUAUUCUCUGCAACCACUUUGGUCAUACGCCAUCGGUGGAUGUUUUUCUACACUUCUUUGAGGCUAAGAGUCCAGGGAAGAAGCUGUGGAUGAGAUUCAAUGGGGUCGUUGGAAGAGUUUUGUUAUCCCUCUUCCAGCAAUCGUACAAGGGCUUCAAAGGGAAGUUUUUCAAAAUACGGUGUAGCAAAUUCAACCCCACCCUACUGGACGGGUUCCCUCUUUAUUGGGUGAAAGAACCAGGGCUCAAGAAACCUAGGUGCCUUGAGGACUUAACCCCGCGUGACCGAGAAGUGUGUGAUUUCUUCUCCAACUUGGAAGUGGUGUUUAGCACCGCUGAGUUGAUCAAGCUCGAGUACAGCCCCAGGUCCCUUAAGGGCUAUAUUGGUAGAAAUGGGUCUUGAUCAAGGUGACAACUUGUAGAAAUGGGUGUGUUGAUUGCCUUGUACUGGUCCAUCUCAAACUUUCUCAGCAGUUCUUUGCAAUAUUUAGCUUGAUUUAUAAAGAUCUCGUCUCUUAGUUUUUUGACUUGUAGACCAAGGAAAUAAUUCAGCUCCCCCAUCAUUGACAUCUCAACUUCACUCUUCAUAACCUUUACAAAUGCUUCACAUAAACCUUUAUUUGUAGAACCGAAAAUGAUAUCAUCCACAUAUACCUGUACAAGUAUAAUGUCUUCACCCUUUUUCUUAAUGAACAAUAUCUUAUUGGAUGUACCACGGUUAUAGCCCUGAGACAAUAGAAAUUCACUCAAUCUUUCAUACCAUUGCCUAGGAGCUUGUUUAAGUCCAUAGAGUGGCUUUUUGAGCUUGAAUAGAUGAUCAGGAAAUUUAUAAUCCUCAAUUCCUGGGGGUUGUGAAACAAAGACCUUUUCGUUUAAGUAACCAUUUAGGAAUGCACUUGUGACAUCCAUUUGGAACAACUUGAAUCCCUUUAUGCAUGAUAAGGCUAGGAGAAGUCUGACAGCUUCAAGUCUUGCUAUUGGUGCAUAUGUUUCAUCAUAAUUGAUUCCCUCUUCCUAGUUAUAACCCUUGGCUACUAACCUUGCUUUGUUCCUUGUGAUUACCCCAUGCCCAUCCAUCUUGUGUCUGUACACCCACUUAGUCCCUAUGACAUUCAUCUCGGAUGUUCUUGGAACUAGAGACCAUACUUCAUUCCUUGUAAACUGAUUCAACUCUUCUUGCAUAGCCAAAAUCCAAUUGUUGUCUUGUAAAAAGUCAUUCAAAUUUUUAGGCUCAACUUGUGAAACAAAUGCCAUUGUUUCAUAGAAGUUGUUCAGAGACUUCCUGGUUGAGGCCCCUUUUUCAAUGUUUCCAAUCACAUUCUCAAGUUUUAAAUCUCUAGGAGUCUUCCAUUCUUUGGGCAAAUCUUCACUAACAACAGGUUCUUUGACAACACAUGAACCAGUUGUAUCUAAAUCAAUCAAUUGAUUCUUUUGAAGUACAACUCUUAAAUCUACUUCAAGUUCAUCCACAAUAGGUUUAAGCAAGUAAUUAUUUAAUUCAUCAAACACAACAUGCAUGGAUUCCUCCACAGUUAGCAAUCUUUAAUUGUAAACCCGAUAAGCGUGACCAUUAAUAACAUAAUCAAUAUGUAUACCCUUAUCAGAUUUAGGAUCGAAUUUCCUCAUAUUAUCUUUCCCAUUAUUUAAGAUAAAGCAUUUACACCCAAACACUCUAAGAUGGCUUAUAUUAGGCUUUCUACCCUUAUAGAGUUCAUAGGGAGUUUUCUUAAGAAUUGACCUAAUUAAGAUUAUGUUUAGCACAUAUGAAGCAGUGUAUACAACAUCUGCCCAGAAAUAUUUGGAAAGAUUAGAUUCGUUUAAUAUGGUCCUGGCAAGCUUCUCGAGUGAUCUAUUUUUCCUUUCUACUACACCAUUUAGUUGGGGAGUCAUAGGGGCUGAAUAAUUAUGUGUGAUCCCAUGUUUUUCACAAAAUCUAUCAAACUUAGCAUUUUGAAAUUCUCCCCCAUGAUCACUUCGAAUUGAUUUUAUGUUGUAACCAUUUUCAUUUUGCAAUGUUUUAACCAAUUUCAUGAAAGCCUCAUAAGCAUCAUUUUUAGAAACAAGAAAGAGAGUCCUGUUAGGGGGGUGAAUUGUUUUCAAAAGAUUUUCGCACAACUUGGCUUAGAAUGAAAUUUUUAACAAUUAACUCAGAAAAGCAAUCCAGAAGGCUAACCAAAAAACAAACAGAAACAGGUAGAAGAAAUUCAACCAAUUGAAAUUACGAUUCAAUAGGUUGUUUAUGACAGCGGAAAAUACAAACAGAUAAUGAGAGAAGAGAUAAAGAGAAUUACACUUAGAGUUUAUACUGGUUCACUCAAUCACAAAGCUACAUCCAGUCCUCAGCCAAACCACUGAGUAUUCACUAGGCAAUCAAUCACAAAUUACACAUACACCAACCACAAAGAAGUGACUUUGAAUCCGACAAAGCCUUCUCACCUUCUUUGCACACAACAAACACCUCAAGCCAGAAUCAUACUGACUUUACAGGAUUUUACCACAGUUCUACAGAAAGUAAUAUUGAACAAUUACAAGAACUUGAACAAGAUAGGAAAACACCUAAAAUCUUUAUACACCAGAACCCUAUUGAUCAGUUCUCUGAACCACAACAAAGCUUCAAAGGCAAUCUUGUUAAAACAAACUUGGUAGAAAACUUUUCACAAACGAUUUGUAAUCUUUCAAAUCAAAACACAAUCAGAGUAUCAAAUAACUUCUGUUUCAUCAAUCUUUUUUUGUUGAAACUAAGACUCAUUUUAUAUACCUUGAAAAGCUAUCAUGACUUCAGUUUCAAAAGAUCAAAACAGUUAAAACAGACUUUUAAAAAAAUGUUUGUGAAAACACACAUUUAAUCGUUUAAAACCACGAUUCAACCGAUUGAAUGGUUUUGUCAGUUAUGCAACUGAUUCAAAAAACAGUUUUAAAACAGCUCUGUCAGCUAAGUGACAAACAAUCGAUUAUUUCGAAACUUUAAUCGGUUGGUUUUCCCUUUGCAUGAAAAAACACUUUAAUCUUUAAAAACAGAUUGUAAAAAGUUUUGCCUGAGUAUCAACACUGAUCUUACAACAAUUCUAAACCCCAAACCAAAACCUAAACUUAAAACAUCACACAACUUCAGGCUCCAAGAGGAUAUGGCACAUCAAAGCUUCCCAUCUUCAACAAUCUCCCCCUAUUUGAUGGAGACAAAUCCCUGUGAUGCUUUUUAGAAAGGUUCCUUGUUUAGAAUUUGUUGAAUCAUGUAAUUACUAAACAAACACAGAAUAGUCUAAUCCAAACAAAUAACACUAUAUAACAGAUUUCAAAAAUAAGCAGAACCUGUAAAAGAACAAUCGGUUAUAAUACAAAGAUAACCGGCUGAAAAACUGUUAAACCAGAAAACAACAGUUUUAAACAUUAAAACCAGAAACAGUUCGACAUAAACAUCUCCCAAUAACCCUUCUCCCCCUAUUUGUCUCAUCAAAUAGACAAAUUAAAAGAAGAUAUGACUAAGAUAGAGCAUUCAUAUCAAGGAUUCUAAAUUCAUUUCGUAGAGUAUAAAACCUGUCCUUUGAUAGAGGGUUGGUGAAGAUAUCAACAAGUUGUCUUUCUGUGGAAACGAACUUGAUUUCAUAAUCACCAUUGGUUACAUGAUCUCGAAUGAAGUGGUGUCUUAUUUCAAUGUGCUUUGUCCUUGAGUGCUGAAUAUGAUUCUUUGUCAAGUGAAUAGCACUUGUGUUAUCACAGAGGAGAGGAACUUUACUAAUCUUUAAUCCAAAAUCUUCAAGUUGUUGUUUAAUACAUAGAAUCUGUGCACAGCAGCUACCAGCAACUAUGUAUUCAGCUUCAGCAGUGGAUAAAGCUACACACGCUUGCUUCUUACUAUUCCAUGAAAUAAGACUUGAUCCAAGUAAGUGGCAUGUUACACUAGUACUCUUCGUGUCUAGUUUGCAACCUGCAAAAUCCGAAAUCAGAAUAACCUACUAAAUGUAUAGGAGAAAGAGAGGGAUACCAUAAGCCCAUGGAUAUUGUGCCUUUCAGAUAUUUCAGGAUCCUCUUUGCAGCCUUGAGAUGUGAUUCCUUGGGACAAGACUGAAAUCUAGAACACAAACACACAACAAAAAUAAUGUUCGGUCUGCUCGCAAUUAGAUAGAGAAGUGAACCUAUUAAACCUAUGUACAUGGUUUGAUUAACCUCUGGUCCAGCCUCAUCAGUUUCCAAAUAGCAGUUUGUUGACAUUGGGGUUGUUGCUGCUUUGCAUGCUUCCAUCUCGAACUUCUUAAGGAUGCCUUUACAAUACUUUGAUUGACAUAUGAAGAUUCAUUCUUUGAAUUGUUUAAUUUGUAGAUCGAGAAAGAAUGAAAGUUCUCCCAUCAUUGAUAUUUCGAGCUCCCCCUUCAUAGCUUUGACAAAGUCCUCACAAAGUUUUUCAUUAGACGAGCCAAAUACAAUAUCAUCUACGUAAAUUUGUACUAAGAUAAUAUCAGUUCCAAAUUUCUUAAAGAACAAAGUCUUAUCUACCUUACCUCUUUCAUACUCAUGAGAUAAAAGAAAAAGACUUAGCCUUUCAUACCAUUGACGUGGGGCUUGUUUGAAUCCGUACAAUGCUUUCUUAAGCUUGUAGACAUGCUCUGGAUGUUUGUGAUCUUCAAAGUCAGGUGGUUGUGAAACAUAUAUCUCCUCAUUCACGAUUCCAUUGAGAAAUGCACUUUUCACAUCCAUCUGAAACAAUAUUUUGAAACCACUCAUACAGGCAAAAGCUAAUAACAAUCUUACUGCUUCCAACCUUGCUACAGGUGCAAAGGUUUCAUCAUAAUCGAUCCCCUCAGCUUGAUUGUAUCCUUUGGCCACGAGUCUCGCUUUGUUCCUUGUAAUGAUGCCUGAGUCAUCAGAUUUAUUUCUGAACACCCACUUAGUACCUACCAUAUUCCUUUGAUCGGUUUUUGGAACAAGAGUCCAGACAUCAUUCCUUACAAACUGGUUAAGUUCCUCUUACAUUGAUCUUGUCCAGUAUUCAUCCUUGAGAUCCUCACUCACUGAUUGAGGUUCGAUCUUAGAAACAAAUGAAGAAUGAUUGCAUACUUUUGCCACAUGCCUUCUAGUGGAAACUCCUUUGUGGAUUUGACCUAUGAUAUUGUCAAUAGACAGAUCCUUAGGAACCUUCCAGUCUUUUGGAAGAUCUUCCUGCUGUAGAUUUUCAGUCGGUUGAAUCGAGGAUUCAAUCGGUUGAAUCGAGGAUUCAAUCGGUUGAAAUUUUGUGUUGCUGUCAAGAUUCUUUAAGAAGAUGUUUUACUCAUCCUCAUCUGUAUUGAUCUUAGAUACAGCUUGUUCACACUUCUUAGUCUCAUAAAAAAUGACAUGUAUUGAUUCCUCUACUGACAUAAGCUUUUUAUUAAAGACUCUAUAGGCAUGACUAUUAAGAGAGUAGCCAAGAAAGAUAACUGGGUCAGAUUUAGCAUCAAACUUACCUAAGCUUUCUUUGCCAUUGUUGAGAAUAUAACACUUACAUCCAAAGACUUUUAGGUGGCUCGCGUUUGGCUUUCUCUCGUUCAGCAACUCAUAAGGAGUUCUCUUCAAAAUAGUCGAAUCAGCACGCGGUUUAUCAUGUAGCAGGCAGUGCUCACAACAUCAGCCCAUAAGCAUUUUGGUAGAGCAUAGUCAUUUAGGAUAGUCCUUGCAAGCUCUUCUAGAGACCUGUUCUUUCUUUCCACCACACCAUUCUGUUGGGGUGUUCUUGGUGCUGAGAAGUUAUGAGAAAUCCCUAACUUGUUACAGAAGCUAAUGAACUUUUCAUUUUGAAACUCUCCCCCAUGAUCACUUCUUAUGGCCCCUAUGUUGCUGCAACAUCUAUUCUGAAGUUUCCUUGCAAGCUUCUUAAAUUCUGAAUAUGUUUCCUUCUUUGUGUGUAGAAAGAGUGUCCAAGUGUACCUGGAAAAAUCAUCUACAACUACAAGUGCAUACAGAUUUCCUCCAAGACUCAUAGUUCUAGAAGGUCCAAAAAGAUCCAUGUGCAAAAGUUCAAGGGGUUUUGAGGUUGAAACACAGUUUUUCAAGUUAAAAGGUUUUCUAGUUUGUUUCCCCCCUUUAACAUGCUUCACACACAUGUUCUUUUUCAAAUCUGAUUUUGGGUAAGCCAUAAACAAGUUCACUGGAAACAAGCUUAUUUAAAUGAUUCAUAUGAAAAUAAGCAAACCUUCUAUGCCAUAGCCAUGAUUCCUCAUGCUUUGACAAAAGACAACCUAUUGAAGUAUGACUAGAUAUAUCAAGCAAAUAAAUGUUGUUUGAUCUCUUACUAAUGAGAAGAACAUCCUUUGAAUUAGGCAACCUGAUCUCACAUGAAUUGGUCCUAAAGGUUACUUGAUAACCUUUGUCACACAACUGACUAAUACUGAGCAGGUUGUGCUUCAAACCUUCAACAUAAAGCACAUCAUGAAUAAGCAAACUACUUUCGUUACCUAUUGUACCUUUGCCAAGAAUUUUUCCUUUGUUGUUGUCACCGUAGGUUACAUGGCCAUCUGGUUUGAGAGAAACACUGAUGAAGCUGGAUGCAUCACCUGUCAUGUGUUUUGAGCAUCCACUAUCUAGAUACCAUAAGUGUUGUUUUCUCUCCAAACAACCCUGCAAAAAAGACAGAAUCAAGUUGCUAGAUCUGGUCCCCUUGUGAAUUUGGGUUCAUAGGUGUUAAUGUAUUUCCAAGAAUCAUUAGACUCCUUAGGAAUCCAUUUCAAAAUACCCUUAGGUACAAAAAAACCUUAUGAUUCUAAAGAACCUAAUAGAAUGUCCCUUUUUCAUGCAAUAGAAACAACAAACAACCAGUUGUUUCGAACUUUUAAUCGAUUGUUUUUUAGUGAAAGUUGAAAAGGAUUUUGUGCACCCAGUUUGCUUGCUUUGAGGGUUAAAACCCAAGCCAGAUUUUCCAAAAACACAUGUUUGGGAUGCCAACACAUUUUCAAAGUUUGAUUUUCCUUUCGAAAUGAUAUCAAUUGUUUUCACAAGAUAUAAGACUUUCUCUUGAAGAGACUCACAGUUUUUGCACAAAUUUGAAUCACAUUUCCAAGAGGAUUUUUCAUGCAUCAACUCAUAGGAUAGUUUUGACCACAAAACCGAGGUGGUUUGUUCAAAGAUGCACCUUGCCCAAAAAAACUUUUAUCAGCCAUCAAAAGAUUUUUAAAAACCAAAAUUCAAGAGUAACUUUCAAGAACCUUGCUCUUGAUGCCAAUUGUUAGAAUUGGUGGCUAAAACAAGAGGGGGGGUAAAUUAUUUUCAAAUUUUUAACAAUCAACUCAGAAAAGCAAUCCAGAAGGCUAACCAAAAAACAAACAGAAACAGGUAGCAAAAAUUCAACCGGUUGAAAUUACGAUUCAAUUGGUUGUUUAUGACAGCGGAAAAUCAAACAGUUAAUGAGAGAAAAGAUGGAUAAAAUUACACUUAGAGUUUAUAUUGGUUCACUCAAUCACAGAGCUACAUCUAGUCCUCAACCAAACCACUGAGUAUUCACUGGGCAAUCAAUCACAAAUUACACAUACACCAACCACAAAGAAGUGACUUUGAAUCCCACAAAGCCUUUUCACCUUCUUUGCACACAACAAACACCUCAAGCCAGAAUCACAUUGACUUUACAGGAUUUUACCACAGUUCUAUAGAAAGUAAUAUUGAACAAUUACAAGAACUUGAAAGAGAUAGGAAAACACCUGGAAUCUCUAUAUACCAGAACCCUAUUGAUCAGUUCAUUGAACCACAACAAAGCUUCAAAGGCAAUCUUGCUAAAACAAACUUGGUAGAAAACUUUUGUAAUCUUUCAAAUCAAAACACAAUCAAAGUAUCAAAUAACUUCUGUUUCAUCAAUCUUUUUUUGUUGAAACUAAGACUCAUUUUAUAUACCUUGAAAAGCUAUCAUGACUUCAGUUUCAAAAGAUCAAAACAGUUAAAACAGACUUUUAAAAAAAUGUUUGUGAAAACACACAUUUAAUCGGUUAAAAUCACGAUUCAACCGAUUGAAUAGUUUUGUCAGUUAUGCAACUGAUUCAAAAAAAUAAUUUUAAAACAACUUUGCCAGCUAAGUGACAAACAACCGAUUAUUUCGAAACUUUAAUCGGUUGUUUUUCCCUUUGCAUAGAAAAACACUUUAAUCUUUAAAAACAGAUUGUAAAAAGCUUUGCCUAAGUAUCAAAAUUGAUCUUACAACAAUUCUAAACCCGAAACCAAAACCUAAACCUAAAACAUCACACAGCUUCAUGCUCCAAGAGGAUUUGGCACAUCAAAGCUUCCCAUCUUCAACAGACCUAUAUUCUGAAAAGCAAUUUUCAAAACCUUUAGAAAGCAGUUUCAAUAGAUAAGGAUCCUGAACAAGAUUGUUUAGUUGAUCUUUAACACUUGUAUAUAUUACUCAGUCAAAGAUUACAUAUACUAUGAAUGUUAACCAAGAUCAAAGUCUUGUCAAAAUCUCGAAAACCAGAAUAUGAUUUAACCUAACAACAGUUAAAACAACAAAUUCAAUUUUAAAACAACAGAUUCAUUUUAUCACAGAUUACUAGAUUUUAGAUUUCAAGCAGUGAUCAAGAAGAGAUAAAGGCACACACAGUGUUAUACUGGUUCACUCAACAAGAGCUACAUCCAGUCUCACUUUAUACAAAGAUGGAUUUCACUAAUGCAAAAGAAUCUUUACAAACACUUAUUGGUUCUUGAACCCUCGAGGAACAAGAUUACAAGCUGAAAAAAUCUAUUUCAGCAACAUACACACCUCUAGAAACACUAUCAAGAGGCACAAAUAUAAUCACUAUUAAAUAAGAAAAAUAUAGGAAGGAAAACACCUAGACUGCAGAUACAAAAAGUUCGAAACAAAACCCUCACAAAUGCAGCACAAGACUGAACCUUGAAUCUUUAACCAAAAGUCAUCAGCACAAGAGAACUUGAAGUUUUUAAGAAGUCAUCAGUAAAUUUCAAACUCUCACUAAAAGCACUUGAAAACUGUAUGAAAAUCGUGAUUGCAAGGUGUGUCUUGACCUGAGAUCAACCCCUCCUUUUAUAGGUUUCAUAUCAAAACAGUCAAGAACUGUUAUAAAAAUAACAGAUUGAAGUUCAAAAGAACAUAUAUUUUUGAAAAAUACACAUGGUGAUAACAUAACCACUUUCAGAUUAGUUGCUAACGGUAACUGUGAGCAAAACUGAAUUUGGAAUCAAAACUGAAUAUUUGAAAAAACUUAAUAGCUUUGCACUAGUAAAAAAAAAAAACAAUUGUUUUGUCAAGCAAUAGAUUGAUUUUUCUGCACUAAACUAGUUUUUGAAAAAACUUGAAACAAACUUUGAAAAUAAACCCUUCUCCUUUAAAUCCUAAAAGGCCCCUUGAAAACAAUUCUUCUUCAAAAUCCCCCCACGACACAUCCUAAGAACCCGACACAAUUAUUUCAAAGGUCUAUGAAUCGUACAAACCCAAAGUGCUUGCAUCCAGCCUCCUUUAUAUAAAAACUUCGCUCACUCAGCCCAUCUUUGGAAGAACUUAAACAUAUCAAGUUGGCUAAAACCAAAAGGAAAAUUUGAGAAAAAGAGAGUAGUUUUACGGUUCAUCAUGCAGUUUUUUCCCUUCACUUAAUGUUCACCUUAAUAAUUAUGAAAUUGAGUGACUGAGUAUGUUUUACUUGGUAUGUCAUGAUUUUCUUCUUCUCAAUUGAUUCUAGAGGAAGAUAUAUAAAAUAAUUUAAAAUAAAAUAAUUUAAGUUUAAUACAUUUAAAUGUUGUAUAUUUAUGAAAUUCUCUAUUGAAAAAAAAGAGAAGGUAAAGGGUUAUUUUCGAGUGGUCACAAAAUUACUAUUGUGAUAAUGUCUUACAGUGUGAAUUUUAAACAUUUAAAUUACUGUAUUGCACCAUAAUGCAAUUAAAGAGUCACAGGAGAGAACCUUACCUUUGCUUUUUUAUUCGUUUGAAGAAAUAAAUAUAGGUUUAAAUUUCAUAUUUCUAUUUUAAUUUUUAAGUUCCAAUGAUCAAAUAAGUGUGCUCAUUAAGAAUAUUAAGAAAUGUGAGACACACAGGCAGAGAGAUACUUUUCGAUAUCCUAACAUAUUACUUAAUAUUUUUUAUUAUUAAUUUAUUUUAAUUAUUUGAACAUUUUAUAAUUUUAGAAGUUAAUAAAACAGAUUUUUAAUUUUAAAAUUUUAUUUUAUUUGUUCUCACUUAAUUGACAAAAGGAUGGAGAGAUUAGUAAGUAAAUUUUAUUUUAUUAUUACCUAAUUAGCAAGAAAGUAGAGAAAUUGAUACGUUAAUAUUUUAUUUUAUUUAUGGUCACUUAACUCGCAGGAGAGUGAAGAAAUUGAUUGUCUUAUUUAAAAAAGUUAUGUUUGAAUAUAGAACAAUUUUUAAUUUUUCUCUCUCUUAUUUUACAACUCUUUUUUUCAAAUCUCUUAAAACCCAAUAACAUAUUUCUCAUACAUACAAAUACACAUGAAUUUACAUUGAAAUAAAUAUAUCUAUAUAUAUAAUAAUAGUAAAAAUAAAAACUAGAUGUAGAACGGCCUAUGUUAUGUUCGCGCUAAUAUUAUUAAAAAUAUAUAUAAGUUGAUAGUUAGAAUAAUUAUAAUUUUUUACAUUUUCUGCGUAUAGAAUUAUAUAAUAAUUGCAGAACGUCAUACAGUCAUUCGCCUCAAUAAUACCCAUGACAUUUAUGGUGUUUAGAGGAAAAUGAAGAUAUAAAAUUUUCAAUAACUUCCAACUAAUUCUUUCUCCGGACAUUAUUACAAUCGAAGGAUCUUUAUAUAUUAUUAUUUCAUUGUUAUAUAAUUAUUUUAUUGAAAAAAUCAGUUAUUAAAUAAAUAUAUUUAAUGAAUGAAUAAUUUUUGGUGUAACAAAAUCAAUUUUCAUUGAAUUUUAAUUAUACAGAUUUCAUGGUGAUUUGACAAAGUAUCUCAACCACAAUUAUAUUCUCAAUAUUUUUUUUUUGUGCUCCAACCUUAUAUAACAAUACUAUUUACCGAGUGCAAGACACAUACGACAAAGAAAUUCAAAACAGAUAAUAGCUGCAACCUAUUAUGCUUCUAAAGGGACUAGAGCAUGACAAUAAAACCACCACACCAAAGCAGCAAUAUUUUCAUCCCCAGAGCAUUGAAACAUCUCCAAUUAAGACCAGCUUUAGAAUUACCAAAGGGACAUACUUUUAGGAACAGCUUCCAACUAGUGAGCUUCAAUAACAACCAUAGUUCUUUACUUCCUCUUCAGGGAUUGUAAGGUUUCUGAUCUGCUAAGUGCUAGAAUCUGCAUUUGAACAAGUAGGGGAUGACUUCCGCAGCAUUACCAAUAUGUGGCACCUCACACAAACCAUUGCAAACAUCUCCUUGUGAUAGCCACGAUUGAGAUCCACCUAAAGUUCAAGAAUCAUCCAAUUUACACUUACUUGGUUCAUUCAACAGAUCAUGCUCACCAAAAGUGCUCCUGGUGGGACCAUAUAUAUUGCAGUAAUUGUAAUUAUAUUUGGAAAUAAGAGCCAUGUUUAGAACACUUUUUCUUUUUAAUAUAUGUAUCGUUUUAGUUACAUUUUUGUAGAAAGUUUUCUUUGUAUUUGUUUCAAUAAUGAGAGUGGUGGAGCCCAACUUAAUUAUUAUUUUGAAAAGAACAUUUAUAAACAUUUAUGGUCUUUAAUGGCUAUUGAUGAAGAUAUAAAUUUCCAGGUGUUAGUUCCAACUAAUUGUUUGUCUGUACAAUACAAUUGAAAAUAACAUCUUGAUGUUAGUGGUGAUUGAUGAACAGAGAUAGGGAGUGCUCCUUUACGUGGUUCGAAGAAGUGAUUGGCCUAUAUAAAGCAACUUCUGCUAUAAUCAGUGCCAACAAUUUAUCUUAUUUUGGAAAUGUUCGUUAACUCUUAAAUAUGUCAUGAGUCUCAGCAGUUUUAUAGUGUAGUUCCUUCAUAAUUCAAACUCUUUAAUCUAUUAUAUUCUCUUUAGUAUAUCAAGAGUUCAGUGGUCGGUUUAAAAAGGGAAAAAAUGUGGGUUCUAUGUCUUGCAACAUUGUUUUUUAUAGGAAUAACUCAUUGGGUUUAUAGAUGGAGAAACCCUAGUUGCAAUGGAAAACUCCCACCUGGUUCAAUGGGUUUGCCCCUUCUUGGUGAAUCCCUUAAGUUCUUCACCCCCUACACUUCUUCUGAUAUUCAUCCAUUCAUAAAGCAGAAAGUGGAGAGGUAUAAUAUAUGCAAGCUUCUCGUUUUUCAUGAGUUUU
rnacentral:lncRNA from 1 species